AGGCCAGUAGCUCAAUAGGCAGAGCGGCGGUCUCCAAAACCGCAGGUUGGGGGUUCGAUUCCCUCCUGGCCUG
rnacentral:tRNA from 1 species